rnacentral:rRNA from 1 species
CUCACACAUGCAAGUCGAGCGAUCUUCUUCGGAAGGGAGCGGCGGACGGGUGAGUAACGCGUGGGUAACCUGCCCUGUACACACGGAUAACAUACCGAAAGGUAUGCUAAUACGGGAUAACAUAAGAAAGUCGCAUGGCUUUCUUAUCAAAGCUUUUGCGGUACAGGAUGGACCCGCGUCUGAUUAGCUAGUUGGUAAGGUAACGGCUCACCAAGGCGACGAUCAGUAGCCGACCUGAGAGGGUGAUCGGCCACAUUGGAACUGAGACACGGUCCAAACUCCUACGGGAGGCAGCAGUGGGGAAUAUUGCACAAUGGGCGAAAGCCUGAUGCAGCAACGCCGCGUGAGCGAUGAAGGCCUUCGGGUCGUAAAGCUCUGUCCUCAAGGAAGAUAAUGACGGUACUUGAGGAGGAAGCCCCGGCUAACUACGUGCCAGCAGCCGCGGUAAUACGUAGGGGGCUAGCGUUAUCCGGAAUUACUGGGCGUAAAGGGUGCGUAGGCGGUCUUUCAAGUCAGAAGUGAAAGGCUACGGCUCAACCGUAGUAAGCUUUUGAAACUGUAAGACUUGAGUGCAGGAGAGGAGAGUGGAAUUCCUAGUGUAGCGGUGAAAUGCGUAGAUAUUAGGAGGAACACCAGUUGCGAAGGCGG